CUACCCCCCAAGCUAGUUGCAUUUAGCUCACAGAGCCUGGGCUGCGACUUGAAAGAGUUUAGGCAGCAACAAACAGAGUGGCCCUGGGGGUGCCCUCGACCGACAGCCGACCCCUCGGCGUCUAGGACCUCCGAGCGGGGAUGCAGCUGGGGGUCUAGGGAAGCACUUCCACCCCCUCCUCCUCAACCCUGGCAGGGUGUGCCCGAAAUGCCAGCUCCUCCUUGGUGUUCUCCUUUCAGGAUCUGAAUUCAAAUCCCAUUGGCAGCCCUGAUACCGCUGGGGGAAGGGUAAGGCUACCGCUGCUUCAAGACAGUGAUGUUUCUCUCCAGUCUGCUGUCAGGAGCUUCCUACUGUGCCACAAGCUGGGUCUUACUGGGGAUUUGGCCAGCCUUGGGGGCCCUUGGGGCCCUGGCCCAGUGGAAGCUCAUGCCUGGGGAACAUGGAGGCCAUACCAGUGCGUUAUUUCCAGAGUCUUCAAGAGUGCCAACUGGAACCAGGACCCCAGGCCACAGCCCCCUACGCCGUCCUGGACCUGGAUUCUGACUGUGGUUCCACUGUACCCCUUACCUGAAUCUCUGGUUCUAACCAGACCUGAGCCUGGACUUCCACUUUUGCCCUCACCCCUGUGA